rnacentral:rRNA from 1 species
AGGACGACGCUGGCGGCGUGCUUAACACAUGCAAGUCGAACGGAAAGGCCCAGCUUGCUGGGUACUCGAGUGGCGAACGGGUGAGUAACACGUGGGUGAUCUGCCCCAAACUUCGGGAUAAGCCUGGGAAACUGGGUCUAAUACCGGAUAUGACCUGCUCCUGCAUGGGGGUUGGUGGAAAGCUUUUGCGGUUUGGGAUGGGCCCGCGGCCUAUCAGCUUGUUGGUGGGGUAAUGGCCUACCAAGGCGACGACGGGUAGCCGACCUGAGAGGGUGAUCGGCCACACUGGGACUGAGACACGGCCCAGACUCCUACGGGAGGCAGCAGUGGGGAAUAUUGCACAAUGGGCGCAAGCCUGAUGCAGCGACGCCGCGUGAGGGAUGACGGCCUUCGGGUUGUAAACCUCUUUCGCCAGGGACGAAGCGCAAGUGACGGUACCUGGAGAAGAAGCACCGGCCAACUACGUG